rnacentral:rRNA from 1 species
AUCGCAAGAUGAGUGGCAGACGGGUGAGUAACGCGUGGGAAUCUACCGUGCCCUGCGGAAUAGCUCCGGGAAACUGGAAUUAAUACCGCAUACGCCCCCCUUUAAAAUAUCAGGCUAUUACAAUGCCCUGGCAUUUUGUGGGGGGGAAAGAUUUAUCGGGGUAUGAUGAGCCCGCGUUGGAUUAGCUAGUUGGUGGGGUAAAGGCCUACCAAGGCGACGAUCCAUAGCUGGUCUGAGAGGAUGAUCAGCCACAUUGGGACUGAGACACGGCCCAAACUCCUACGGGAGGCAGCAGUGGGGAAUAUUGGACAAUGGGCGCAAGCCUGAUCCAGCCAUGCCGCGUGAGUGAUGAAGGCCUUAGGGUUGUAAAGCUCUUUCACCGAUGAAGAUAAUGACGGUAGUCGGAGAAGAAGCCCCGGCUAACUUCGUGCCAGCAGCCGCCGUAA